rnacentral:rRNA from 1 species
UACGGAGGGGACUAGCGUUGUUCGGAAUUACUGGGCGUAAAGCGCACGUAGGCGGAUUUGUAAGUCAGGGGUGAAAUCCCGGGGCUCAACCUCGGAACUGCCUUUGAUACUGCAAAUCUCGAGUCCGGAAGAGGUGAGUGGAAUUCCUAGUGUAGAGGUGAAAUUCGUAGAUAUUAGGAAGAACACCAGUGGCGAAGGCGGCUCACUGGACGACUGUUGACGCUGAGGUGCGAAAGCGUGGGGAGCAAACAGG